rnacentral:rRNA from 1 species
GACGAACGCUGGCGGCGUGCUUAACACAUGCAAGUCGAACGGAAAGGCCCUGCUUUUGUUGGGUGCUCGAGGGGCGAACGGGUGAGUAACACGUGAGUAACCUGCCCUUGACUUUGGGAUAACUUCAGGAAACGGGGGCUAAUACCGGAUAGGAGCUCCUGCUGCAGGGUGGGGGUUGGAAAGUUUCGGCGGGUGGGGAUGGACGCGCGGCUUAUCAGCUUGUUGGUGGGGUAGUGGCUUACCAAGGCUUUGACGGGUAGCCGGCCUGAGAGGGUGACCGGCCACAUUGGGACUGAGAUACGGCGCAGACUGCUACGGGAGGCAGCAGUGGGGAAUAUUGCACAAUGGGCGGAAGCCUGAUGCAGAAACGCCGCGUGCGGGAUGACGGCCUUCGGGUUGUAAAACGCUUUCGCCUGUGACGAAGCGUGAGUGACGGUAAUGGGUAAAGAAGCACCGGCUAACUACGUG